GAGAGAGAGAGAGUGUUCAAUGUUAGGUGGGUUUGAAUCUUCUCUCACACAAAAGCGCUCUCUCUCUCUCUCUCUCUCUCAACUCACGGCACACCUCUCUCUACUCUCUCUCUCGAAAUCUCACCUCAAAACUCGAAACUCACAUUGAUCCACCUCCCUCUCACCUCAUCCACGCGAUCUAGAUCUUGAAAUUCGUCGGUUUGAGCUUGGGGUGCGAGUAUUUUGGUUGAAUCAAGCUUUGAAGUUCUAGGGUUUGAUUGAGCUUGGAUUUGUGCUUCCAAUUCUUGAGGCAAUAAUCAAGGACAAUGACAUGGGGUGAUGUGCAUGCAUUCGACCAUACUUUUGAAAGCUCAUAUGGAAGAAUUACUUUUGCAGCUCUAGCAUAUCAUAUUUUGAAAAUGUAAUCAUAACUUUAAUUACAUUCUUUUGAUAAUGGAUUAGUAUAAACGCAAAAGUCACUUCCUUAUCGUAAGCUUAUGCUUAUUUGGGCCGUUGUGCUAUUGGUGUAAUAUUUUAGAAUUGCUGGAGUUUGAAUUGUAAUUAUGAUGGUAUGAAAAUGAUAAACUCUUUUG